CUCCCCACGGCCAGGCCUCUGUCCGGAGGCGCCCUCCGCUGGGAAUCUCACCCUUCCUCUCCCUCUUCGUCGUCCUUGGAGGCCCGAACCCACACCUUCAGGGCUCCUCCCACCGCCCGGCCCGGGCCACCAGGCCGUUAACCUCUGGGGGAAUCCGAGCAGCUCUGCACCUCCUCCCGCCCGGGCCGGGGCGUGACUGUGACCCACGCUGGUAAAACUCAAACAGGGCAGAAGCAUUAAAAUAACCACCCUCGUCCCACAGCCUUGCCUCGCGAAGGAAUCCCGGCCUCCGGUUCGGGAGCAUCCUCCCAGGCCUCCUCCAGAACAUUCGCUCACACACGGAUACUCAGGCUCGCAGACGUAUACGGACGCACACGCAUAUGUACGCCGACACACGUGCACCCAGACUCACAGGAACACGCGGACACGUGGGAACACUGAUUACGUAAAGAGCAUUCCCCCUCCUCAGCUUCCUCUGUCUGUGGACCAGCUCCGCGCACCAGCUCUGAAGGUGUUUCCAUUUGGUGAAGGCACUUGGUGGCCUUGCACGCUGCACGAGUUCUGAGCUUCAGAAUGUGUCACUGCAGGCUGUUGGGUUCAGGAGCCAGUCUCACACAGGCAAAGGGGAGAGGAAAGAAAUAAAGUCCAAAUUUACUUGAGGUGUCCCUUUCUCUGAGCUGAUUCUUGGACAAGUCGACUUAGAGCUGACAUCCAGCUGCCAUUGCAAAGUUCCAGCUGUUCCCUGGCCACAGUCGCUCUGCCACGGUUCUUGUGGAGAAGACCCCAGCAGCGCCUGUCACCUGCGCUCCUGCGUGCUUACAGACAACAAAUGACGAAUGUCAACGACGGCUUCCUGGCACGGCUUCCUCAGCGUGGACAACCUCAGAUGGGGCAGCUCCACUCUUGUCCUACAUAAGUGGGCUUGAAGUCGCGUCAAACCGAGACACAGCAGCCCCGCGUCCCAUGCUGCAGACAUCCACACCCGACUGGGGUGGUUUGUGUGCCGCAUGCGGUUGGAAUUCCUCCCCAGAAACAGGGCAGACUUCUCCAACCGGUUUUUAUUUUGUCCUUAAGCCACAUAUUUGAAAAUUGCUUAAUCAAAGAGGGUCAUGAACUAAAUCUCAGGCCUGGCUCUGGGGCCCCAGGAGGGGAGUUCGUGAACGUGGGCAUCACUGGGCAGCUGAUGGCUCCCUCCGGGUCCCUGUGCACGCCCUGUCUCGGUGGACUGGGUCUCCCACCUGGCCACGGCCAUUGAUUGAGGGCCUACUAUGUGCCAGGCAAGGUCUUGGGUGUUUCCCACAAACGCUCUUGCGCACAACCACCCUGGGAAGGAGGGUGGCUACCCCCACUUUGCAAGUGAGGAAGCUAAAGCUCAGAGAUGAAGUGGCUUGCCCUAGUUCACCCAGCGGGUGAGAGGCAGAGCUGGGAUGUCAGAUGCCAGAUCCCACAUCCUCUGUCUGUGUCCAGAGGCUGUCUGCCCCUCGGGCAGGACGGGAAGACCAAGACCACAGACAUAGUGACCUGUGUCACUGGGAGAGAGCGGAAGAGAGAUGAGCCUCUGGCUCAGGCAGACAAAUCAGGGAAGCUUCUGGGAGGUGGCCCUCGGCCUUGGCAUGAGGGAUCUAGAGAGAGAUGGGAAGGCAUGCAGGAUAAGAGAUUUGUGAAUACAGGGAGGCAGUGGGAGCGAUUGUGGGAUGUGGCUGGAGGAGCGCACUCAGGCAGAUGGGCCAGUGCUGGCCUGGUCUGGGCUCACUGGGACAGACCGGGUGCAGACUGUCCUGGGAGAGAGGCCAGCGUGGGCUGGGCGUGAGGGCCUGCGCCACCAUCUUCCUGCGCACAGCGUCACCGGUGAGAAGUCUGUGGCCAGGCUGACUUGUUCUUUUGGAGGUAAUUUAUUUCCUGUCUCUUCUUGGAGGCUUUCGGGAUUUUUCUCUUUGUUUGGGUGCUCAGAAAUUUCUCUACGGUGUUCCUAGAGGGUGAUGUCUGGCUUUUUUGUUGUUAUUGUUUCAUUUUGUGUUCACUUUUUAAUUAAAGUGUGACGCAUAUAAAACAUACACAUCUUAAGCAUACGGCUCGAGGAGCUUUUACGUUUGUCUCCACUCACGUAACCACCACCUCAGUGCAGAUGCAGACCACUGCUUCCAGGCCCCCUUCCAUCCCCGGAGGAAACGAUUAGUUUUGCCUGUUUUUGGACUGCCUGUGAAUGGGAACAUACAGUUGGGUACUUUUUCAUACUUUUUAAAAAUAAUCUUUUAGAAUUUGAGAACAGCUUUAGAUUUACACAGUUACUGGGAAGAUAAUACGGAGAGUUCUUGCAUACUGAGUGCCCGUUUCCCCUUUUAUUAACAUCUUAGUGCGGUAGAUCUGUGAAAAGUGAUAAACACUGAGACACUGUUACUAACUAGACUCCAUUCUUUAUUUGGAUUUCCUCAGUUUUCCCCUGAUGUCCUUUUUCUGUCCCAAGAUCCCGUCCAGGCCUCCACAGGAUGUUCAGUCGUCAUAGCUUCUCAGGCUCCUGUGGGCUGUGACAGUUGCUCUGACUUGCCUUGUUUGUGAUGAUCUUGGCGGUUUUUCAGAGGACUGGCUGGGUAUUUUGUAUAAUAUUUCUCAACUGGGAUUUGUCUGAUGUUUUUCUCCUGAUUAGUCGAGUUACGGGUUUUGGGGAGGACUGCCACAGAGGCCGUUCUUAGAACAUUGUACUGUGGGGGACUGGCAUUGGCCACCCCAAGAUAUGUCUCUUUGGCACAAGGAUUAUUUGGGGCUGGUUACUUUUAAUAAACUGCAGACAGGAAGGAGGCUCUGAGGAGUGGAACUUGCUUGCCCUUUGUUAGGAGACAUUUACAUUGUAAAGGAAAUCUCCAUCUGUAAAGAUGUCUCCCUCUCUGUACCAGGAAGAAGGGGGGAUGACCUUAUCUUUAGAAACUCUUAAUCAGUGCCAAAGGCAAGGACUUAAAUCUGUGUUUGUUUAUUGUACUUGUCUGGUAACCUCCUGUAACUGACUCCCCCCACCCACAACAUCCUCCUUUGUCUUUAGCUGGAUAUGAUAUUUAAGAUGGGGGCUUCAGCCAUUUUGGCAAGUUGUUCAGCUUGCCUGAGCCUCUCCCAUGUAUACAUGUUAUAAAGCUUUUUAAAAUUUUCUCCUGUUAUUCUGUCUCAUGUGAAUUUAAUUCAUUCUCCGGCCAGACGAACCCAGAGAGGGUAGAGGAAAUGUCUUCCUCCCGUACAGUACCAAGGGUAUGUCCUGUCGACAUGACUGUCCUUGUUGACAUUGACCUUGACCGCCAGGUUGAGGUGUGUUGGUCAGGUUUCUCCGCUGGAAAGUGGAGCCCCCGCCCCUGAGUCCUCUUUGGA
ensembl:lncRNA